AGGAGGGUAUCAUGUCCAGUGUAUCAUGAACAUCGCCGUCUGGCCAUCGCUCUCCUUCCGUGCACCGCUUUCAUUCUAUUUAGAAGUCGCAGUAGUCUUUUUGCAGAAUAUGUCUAAUUAUCUGUAACAGAAGGUCUGCCGGAGUGGCGGAUUUGUCUCGGUUGCGCCAGAGCACAAGCACCUGGGUUGCGUUAGCUAAUCAGCAGGUGCUUAAAGGUGUGCUGCUCUCCAUAGUUGGGGCCGAGAUCAGGAGCUAACACCGAGAGCGCAGUUAUGAUUUUCUUUUUGUUUUAUUUCGAGCACUAAAAAGAAAGGAAUCCUCAGCUGGGAUGCUGGAGGAGCUGAACCCGGCUGGGAAGCAGCAUCCCAUACUUCUCCGCAUGUCCCACCCCACAACCAGUCAACAUCAAAUAAAAGGCUAAAAGUGCUGAUGUUCGAUGCAAGGAUUUCUAAGAGGUCUGUUGACUGCAGUCCAUUUACCAAGGUGCUAAGGAAACUUCAUGAUGAAUAAGGCAGGCAAAUCUACAAGGGCGAGGUCUACUUUUUCCAAAGACAUGAGGCUAAUGAACAAGUAUGAGGACAUUCAUCUCCAGCAGGAACUGGACCUCAUUGACCGCAAGUGCCGGGCCAUUCUCACCACACUGAGCCAGGACAGAGAUUCACUGGUCAAAGAUCACAAAAAAAUACUUCACCUGAAAGUCUGUGAACCACGAGCUACAGUUGACAACACUAUGCGAGAAAUAAUGGAAUCUAAAGAAGCUAACUUUGACCUGCUUUGCCUCACGUCCCCUCCGCAGACAUCACAAAACAGACUGCGCUCCUCCAAAUCUCUGCUGUACCAGAGGGACACAACAACGCUCAUCUCAAGGAGAUCAAAGUCAGCAUACGCUUUUGUAUCAAACACCAGAGGAGGCAACUGCUCUUCCUUGAUGACUCAACAGGAGGACAAUCGGAAAACCAUGUGUCUUUCUCCUCGCAGGCCGAAAUCGACAGCCACUUUCUCCAAGCAGCUGACAAAAAAGAGAUCCCUGGAGUCAAAGAGUCAGGUUCUUUCGAUUAUGCAACUGAAGCAAAUGGCUACAAUUGACAACAUCUCAGAAAAAGAGCUGGCUAGCAAACAAGAGCGCGUAAUACAGGAAAGGGAACGACUGAAACUAAUUAUAAGAGAGAAACUACAUCAGAAAAUACAAACCUUCUUGCAGAAACUUGAUGUCCUCGAUAACAAUAUGCCCACAAAACCCAUAGGCAGGAAUGAGAAUUGUGCUUAAAAUUAGGGCUGUAUUGGAGGGAAAAACUUGAAAUGACACACAUCAAGCAUUUUCAAAUUAUUUGCUUUACAAUUCACACAUACUGAAGACAGACCUGGAAAUGUGAUUGCAAAUGUAAAUUUGGGUCAUACUCAAUCCAGUUUUGACAAAAGUAACAAAUGUGAUGCCACCAUCAAACAAUAACACAUCAGAUGGACACAACUGCCAAGAAAUAUCCAAGAAAUAAAAAGGAUGCUUUAACCAAAAUCAACAGAUUACUGAAGCUUGCACAGUUUUACAAACAAACACUUAUGUGGGCCAAGCUUUUCCCUUGGAGAACUGGACUAGCUCAAAUUUAAAUAUCAAUAUGAAUUAUACUUUCAGACCAAAAAUAACAAUGAUGUUGAAGGGUUUUUUCCAUGUAACAUGUUUAGCUGUCAUUUCAAUGCAUAUUCUAUGAAAUUAUAAAAAUGUUCAUCAAGGUCAAUCAAUUAUUUGUUAAAUAUCAAGAUGCAUAAAGAUUAUUUAAAUGACAAAGAAAGACCUGUCAAUGCAUGAGAUUCCUUUAUUAUUUUGUUGGAAUACAGGAGUCAAUAGAUGCACAGCUGUAAUCAAGCGUGAAUGGGAUGAACACCAGAAAUAUCUAGAUGGUAUGUAACAACCCAAAGCUGUAAAACCUCUUAUGGCACAGAUAGUAAGUAACAUCACAUGAAA